rnacentral:rRNA from 1 species
AAAGACCUUAUGCUUUUGGAGCGGCCGAUGUCUGAUUAGCUAGUUGGUGGGGUAAGUGCUUACCAAGGCGACGAUCAGUAGUUGGUCUGAGAGGACGACCAGCCACACUGGGACUAAGACACGGCCCAGACUCCUACGGGAGGCAGCAGUGGGGAAUUUUGGACAAUGGGCGCAAGCUCGAUCCAGCAAUGCCGAGUGAGUGAAGAAGGCCUUCGGGUUGUAAAGCUCUUUCAGUCGAGAAGAAAAGGUUGUGACUAAUACUCGCAACUCAUGACGGUAUCGACAGAAGAAGCACCGGCUAACUACGUGCCAGCAGCAGCGGUAAUACGUAGGGUGCGAGCGUUAAUCGGAAUUACUGGGCGUAAAGGGUGCGCGGGCGGCUUUGUAAGUCAGAUGUGAAAUCCCCGGGCUUAACCUGGGAAUU